AUGCUCAAUUCAGUUAAAAUCAAUGAGAUAAUCAGCCCACAGAGUCUGCCCAAAGGUCAGCAAGCAGUGAUUUUUUCCUCCAGCAACUUUGGUCCUGAGCUCUUGUUUCAGUGUGAAGAUUGCAAGCCAAAGCACUUGAGCAGGAGAUGGUGCAGGGCGGGCUGGUGUCCUGCAAGGCAAAAUGCAAAGGGCCUCGAAGAGGAACCCACCAACAUGGAGAAGGAGGAGGAUGGCAGGAGAAGGGGGUGCUGUGGGAAGGACCAGGUGAGGAUAACCCUUUUUCUCAUCCCAUUCCCCAAAUUUCAUCCCCUAUCUUGUGUCCCCUCAGUCUCACAUCACCAGAGCCAAAGGCCACGGCAAGGGGAGGACCUGCCUUUGCCCCUCUCAUCACUCCAGCACACGUUCUCUAGCAGCUGGACACACGACAAACUGCGGGCUGAAUUUGCAGAAACACUUUGAUCUUUCAUUUUUAAGCUCAGUGCUUCAAUCCCCCACAGAGCCAAGGUAAACGGCGGCGAUGCCGCUUCGGCGGGCUCAAGGUUCCAAGUCAAACAGCAGUCGUUUAGGCACGCUUCUAAAGCUCGUAUCAUUUGAAUGUCAUAUGUCAAACUGAUGCUACUUCCACUGAAGGCAAAUAGCUGUUUAUUCCCCUCACAGCUGCCCAGCAGUCUGACAUUCAUUACCGAAGCCUUGCAGCUGCCAGGGAUUGAAGCUACCUGUAGGAGUGCGCCUAUCAAAGCCUUCCACCUCUUAAGGGUUAUUCCCUGUAAUACCAGCUCAUACAUUUUAGUUCAGGCUCAUUUUACAUCUGCUGUAGCUCUGCAGUUGUUUUUUUUCCUAUGUCUGAACAAGGUCAGGCAUUGUUUUUUGCCCCUUCCCUCCCACAUUAUGUCGUUAGCUCGUUUUUCAUGGCUUCUCCAGGGUUCAGGCUGGCUGUCACUGUGCAGCAGCCCCUGAGGUUUCUGAUGUGGAUGUUCCACGGCUGUGGGCAGCAGCCAGCACACAGGACUGCUGUGCUGGUGGUCCAGUCACAGCAUCUUGAUGCAGCUCCAGCUCUCCUCCAGGCCAGCGCUGAGAAUUCUGUUUCUAGGAUGUAAGUUCAUGCACGAAAUAUCUGAUAUUCUGUACUUUAUUAGGCACUAAAAUGUUCAGUUGGCUGCAGAGGAGUUUACAGAAGUAAAAAAAGGAAGAAAAAAAAAAAGAGGCACCAGAUAUGAUCAGAUUAGUUUGCAUUUAGACAGUGCCCUGAACCUCACAGAACAAUUUACACCUGUGUGAGGAACCUGCAGAGUUCUAUUGAAUCAGGCCUGGGGCGUUUUACAGCCACUUUGCACGAGCAUAAACGACAGCAUAAGGUGCAAAGGAAACAGCCGGCCGGACAAUUACAGAGCAUCUUCACACGCCUUAUUAAUCCUCAUUAGAGCCCUCUGUGCUGAGACCCGCCGUCCUUCCAUCCUUC
rnacentral:lncRNA from 1 species